GUCCACGCUGUAAACGAUGAGUACUAGCUGUAUGGGGUAUCGACUCCCUGUGUAGCGAAGCUAACGCGAUAAGUACUCCGCCUGGGGACUACGGCCGCAAGGCUAAAACUCAAAGGAAUUGACGGGGGCCCCGCACAAGCAGCGGAGCGUGCGGUUUAAUUCGAAGCUACGCGAAGAACCUUACCAGGGCUUGACAUGGCGCUGACCGCCGAUGAAAGUCGGUUUCCCUUCGGGGCGGCGUCACAGAUGCUGCAUGGCUGUCGU
rnacentral:rRNA from 1 species